rnacentral:rRNA from 1 species
AGGACGAACGCUGGCGGCGUGCCUAACACAUGCAAGUCGAACGAGGUCCAUCCGGUGGCAACACUGGUGAAGACCGAGUGGCGAACGGGUGAGUAACACGUGAGCAACCUGCCCCGAAGACUGGGAUAACCCCGGGAAACCGGAGCUAAUACCGGAUACCCCCACCGGGUCACAUGGCCUGGUGAGGAAAUGGAUUCCGCUUUGGGAGGGGCUCGCGGCCUAUCAGCUUGAUGGUGGGGUAAUGGCCUACCAUGGCACCGACGGGUAGCUGGUCUGAGAGGACGAUCGGCCACACUGGGACUGAGACACGGCCCAGACUCCUACGGGAGGCAGCAGUGGGGAAUCUUGCGCAAUGGGCGAAAGCCUGACGCAGCAACGCCGCGUGUGGGACGAAGGCCUUCUGGGUUGUAAACCACUUUCAGCAGGGACGAUUGUGACGGUACCUGCAGAAGAAGCCCCGGCCAACUACGUGCCAGCAGCCGCGGUAAUACGUAGGGGGCGAGCGUUGUCCGGAAUUAUUGGGCGUAAAGAGCUCGUAGGCGGCUUGGCAAGUCACGUGUGAAAUCUCCAGGCUCAACCUGGUGAUGCCACGUGAUACUGCCAUGGCUUGAGUCCGGUAGGGGACCAUGGAAUUCCUGGUGUAGCGGUGAAAUGCGCAGAUAUCAGGAGGAACACCAGUGGCGAAGGCGGUGGUCUGGGCCGGUACUGACGCUGAGGAGCGAAAGCGUGGGGAGCGAACAGGAUUAGAUACCCUGGUAGUCCACGCCGUAAACGUUGGGCACUAGGUGUGGGACCCUAUCGACGGGUUCCGUGCCGCAGCUAACGCAUUAAGUGCCCCGCCUGGGGAGUACGGCCGCAAGGCUAAA